ACGGGGGGUGCAAGCGUUGUUCGGAAUUAUUGGGCGUAAAGCGCGUGUAGGCGGUUUGUUAAGUCUGAUGUGAAAGCCCUGGGCUCAACCCAGGAAGUGCAUUGGAUACUGGCAGACUUGAAUACGGGAGAGGGUAGUGGAAUUCCUGGUGGGGGGGUGCAUGCCGUGGAUAGCAGGUGGUACGCCGGGGGCGAAGGCGGCUGCCUGGACAGAAAUUGGCGCUGAUACGGCUAAGUGUUGUUAGCAAAAAG
rnacentral:rRNA from 1 species